AACUGAGUGAUGGUACCUGGAUCCGUUUCUUGUGCCUCCUGCGCUCCGCCAUGAUCCUCCAACUCAGCUCCUCCGGCGUGCGCGAGGCUGCGGACGCGUACACUCUGAAGUAUCGCGAGAUUAACCGAUUAAAAAACGAGUUUGAGUCAUAGUCGGUGUUUCCUACCUGUGAGCGGAUCUUAAGAGCUGGUCCCAGUUUGAGCCCCAGUGUGUCCAGUAGAUGCUCCUCUGACAGGAGCGGCAGUGUCUCCCCGUCGAUCAUGUGGUCCUUGAACGUCUGCAGAGUGAAAUCACACGAAAACGUCAGCACAACAAAGACACAACAGAAAGAAUAAAGACAGAAAAGUGUAGAAACCAACCUGAGCAUAUUCUGAACAUAAACUCACCAGGUGGAAGGAAACCAUUUCCAGGGACUGGGAACAUGUAAGGCAUGCCAGUGAGCGCUCCACCAGCGGAGGGAUACAUGAACUUCUCCUGGAAAGCUGAACAUUGGCUGGAUAUGUCUUUAUCAUUUGC